CAUCGGGCUACUGCCUCUACCUUAGCAGGUUCAGGUUUCUGCUUCCCACACCCCACUCUGUGUCCGAGGUACUGUACCUCUGCCAUCCCUAUACUGCAUUUUGCUGGCUUCAGGGUUAAUCCGGCUUCUCGGAUUCUAUCUAACACUGCCCCUAUAUGGGCCAAAUGUUCCUCCCAAGUGUUGCUAAAGAUGGCUAUGUCAUCUAAAUACGCACAAGUAUAAUCCUGAAAUCCAUCUAGGAGUCGGUCCACCAUCUUCUGGAAGGUAGCGGG